AGCACUUGUGUUCAUUUUCAUUUAAUAUGUGGGCAAAGACUACAUACAGGUGUGAAGAAGAAAUCUUUUGCAACACAGAACUCAUUGUUCAGUAUGAGUUUUGAUACAUAUAAGAAGAAACAUG